rnacentral:rRNA from 1 species
GUAAGCCCGCAGCUUAACUGCGGGACUGCAGGCGAUACGGGCAUAACUUGAGUGCUGUAGGGGAGACUGGAAUUCCUGGUGUAGCGGUGGAAUGCGCAGAUAUCAAGAGGAACACCGAUGGCGAAGGCAGGUCUCUGGGCAGUAACUGACGCUGAGGAGCGAAAGCAUGGGUAGCGAACAGGAUUAGAUACCCUGGUAGUCCAUGCCGUAAACGGUGGGCGCUAAGUGUGAGUCCCUUCCACGGGGUUCGUGCCGUAGCUAACGCAUUAAGCGCCCCGCCUGGGGAUACGGCCGUCAAGCUAAAACUCAAAGGAAUGACGGGGGGCCCGCACAAGCGGGCGGAGCAUGUGGAUUAAUUCGAUGCAACGCGAAGAACCUUACGUGGGCUUGACAUACACCAGACCGGGCCAGAGAUGUUCUUUCCCUUUGUGGUUGGUGUACAGCUGGUGCAUGGUUGUCGUCAGCUCGUGUCGUGAGAUGUUGGGUUAAGUCCCGCAACGAGCGCAACCCUUGUCUUAUGUUGCCAGCACGUUAUGGUGGGGACCCGUGAGAGACUGCCGGGGUUAACUCGGAGGAAGGUGGGGAUGACGUCAAAUCAUCAUGCCCCUUAUGUCCAGGGCUUCACACAUGCUACAAUGGUCGGUACAACGCGUCUGCGAGCCUGUGAGGGUGAGCUAAUCGCUGUAAAGCCGGUCGUAGUUCGGAUUGGGGUCUGCAACUCGACCCCAUGAAGUCGGAGUCGCUA